rnacentral:rRNA from 1 species
CUCAGAUUGAACGCUGGCGGCAUGCCUUACACAUGCAAGUCGAACGGCAGCGGGCCUUCGGGUGCCGGCGAGUGGCGAACGGGUGAGUAAUGCAUCGGAACGUGCCAUUGAGUGGGGGAUAACGUAGCGAAAGUUGCGCUAAUACCGCAUAUUCUGUGAGCAGGAAAGCAGGGGACCGCAAGGCCUUGCGCUCUUUGAGCGGCCGAUGUCAGAUUAGCUAGUUGGUGAGGUAAAGGCUUACCAAGGCGACGAUCUGUAGCGGGUCUGAGAGGAUGAUCCGCCACACUGGAACUGAGACACGGUCCAGACUCCUACGGGAGGCAGCAGUGGGGAAUUUUGGACAAUGGGGCAACCCUGAUCCAGCCAUGCCGCGUGAGUGAAGAAGGCCUUCGGGUUGUAAAGCUCUUUCGGCCGGGAAGAAAUCGCAUGGGUGAAUACCCUGUGUGGAUGACGGUACCGGAACAAGAAGCACCGGCUAACUACGUG